UUAAAAUUUGACUAUUAAACCACACGGCUUAAAAGAAUGUCCACAUGGAAAAAAAAAAAAAAAAGAGGGUACUUGCACUAUAUAUAUAUUUGAAAUUUGGGAAAACUAUUAAACCACACUGUUUAAUAAUGUAAUGACAUUAACUAUUAAACCGUAUAGUUUAAUAGUUUUUGCGGACUUUAACAAAGUCUAGGAUCCUGAACCACUCUCUACACACACACGUAUUCAUUUCAAUUAAUUAUUAGAAUUAAUUUAAGUUGAAAGACAAACUUUUUUUAGGAAAUUAACAAAAUUAUCCCAAAAAUUUUAGGGUUUUUUAAAAUUAGCCAGUUAAUUUUUUUAUACCAUAUGUAGUCAAUUUCAACAUUUUUGGACAACAAUACCCUUGUCACUCCAAAACCUAAAAAACUAAACAUUCUCUUCACUCCUAAAUUCAGCAGCACGGUCUUGACCUUUCCAGCAACAAUUGAUGACAGUUGGACGAGCAUUUGACAAAAGCUUCAUCUUUGGCAUCAUGUAGUUGUAUUUCUGGCACUUAGACGACAGUUGGACGAGCAAUUGAUGGCAAUUUCAUCUCCAAAAGCAAGUUUUUUUUUUUUGUUUCAUUACGAUCGAACAAUCUUUUGAAUGUAAUUAAGUGUAUAUUUCAUGAUAGAUGAGUAUUAGAGUUAAUUUUCUAUGAAUUUUGGAAAGUAUUUAAUGAGAUUAUGAUUUGAGAAAAAUCGCACAUGAGGUGUUUGCUGCAAUGUCCAUUAGAUUUUGUUAUGUCAUUUUUUAUAGAUUAUGUUGUGGGCUUAUUGUGGCUCAGUGUGAAUCCAUGUUCCGCAUAGGGAUGGUAAUGGGGCAGACAUGAGUUGGAUCUACUCUGCUUCAAAUCCAGAUUCAUAAUAAAAAUUAAGAUCCGUAUCUGCUCCAGAUCCGUCAUAAAUCCAUAUUUUUCGCUUUAUAUCCAGAUCCAAAAAAGAAAUAAAUAUCUAUAUUUGCUCCAAAUCCGAAAAAAAAAUAAAAUCCGAAUAUACUCUAGAUCCGUCAUGAAUUCUAAAACUCAGCAAUAAAAAAGUAAUAAUUUUUUUGAAUGAAAAUUGAAGGUUAAAAUGUUUUGAUAACAAAUAAAUUAUAUAAUUUAUCUCAAAAUAUAAUAAAUAUUGUAGUUUAUACUUUUACACCAAAACAACAAAUAAGAAAGAUAAUAAAAUAUUCUUUAAAAGUAAUUGCAGGAGUAAGAUCAAUAUUAUAUUCUAUUAUUUCCUUCAUCAUUCUAAUAUCCACACACACCCACCCUUAUUCUUACAAUAUUAUAUAAUGACAUAUAAAUAAAAUAUUAUUUAUAUUCAGUGUUUUAUUAUGGCCAUAUUUGACUAAAUAUAUGAAUAACUAUAUUCUUUAAAAAUUAUUUGGCCAAUAUAGUAAAAUAAAUUGCCAAAUUAUAUUACUUGGCUUGCAAUUUGAAUAUUGCAUGUACAUAGUUUGGGGCUGACUGACCUUUAAAUUUACAAAACUAACCUUUAAGUUUUAAGAGUUUAAAUGCAUGAUAAAUACCACUAAUAUGCUAUGAAUAAAAUUUAUUAUCAUUAUAAUUCUACAAUUGUUAUGAAACUUUUAAAAUUAAAUUAAAUUAAAUUAAAAGAUGGGUGUGUGGAUAUGGAUAUGGAUUUAGAUAUUAUGAUAUAUCCAGACCUGCCCCAGAUCCGUCUUAGAUCCACACAUCAAUAUCCAAAUCCAAUCCAAAUUCAUUUUAAACCGACCAAAAUCUGAUCCGAUUGGAUUUGGAUCACCUGGAUCUUGGAUUGCCAUCCCUAGUUCCGUAAAGCAUAGCAAUGAAUUUUUGUGCGACGGGUGUUGCUUUGAUUUAGUGUGUCAGGCACCUGUCGCCUGGGAGAUAAGUGUAUGUCUCUCAAAAUCAUAGCAACUUGCUUGCUAUGAUUGCUAUGAUUUUGAGUGAUGGGCGUUGUCACCCUAAAGAUAGGUUGCUUGUCACUUAAAAUCAUAUUAAUAUACUUGCUGUGAUUUCGUGGGACAUGCUUUUAUCCCUCAGGAGACAGGUGUUUGUCGCUUAAAAUCAUAUUAACACACUUGUUGUGAUUUCAAGUGACAGACACUUGUCACUCAAAAUCACAACAAGCUUGUUGCUGUGAUUUCGUGCAUAGGGCACCUGUUGCACUAAAUCAAAGCAACACCCAUCACACUAAAAUCAAUUUUUUUGCUUUACCGAACACAUAUUGGCACCAUCCACAAUCAACCCAUAACACAAUCUAUCAAAAAUGAGAUAACAAAGUCUAAUAGGCAUUUCAACAAACAUCUCAUAUGUCAUUUUUCUCAAAUCAUAAUCUCAUUAAAUACUUUUAAAAUUCGUAGAAAAUUAACCCUAAUACUCAUCUAUCAUAAAAUAUACAUUUAAUUACAUUUAAAUGACGGUCCAAUCUUAAUGAACAAAAAAAAGGAACUUGCUUUGGGAGAUGAAGCUACCGUUAAUCGCCUGUCCAAUCACCGACAAAAUGUCAUAAAUAAAGUUGCGUGAUGCUGGAGAUGAAUCUGCCGUCAAACGCCUGUCCAACUAUUGUUGAUUUUUGCCGAAAAAGUCAAGACCAUGCUGCUGGAUUUAGGAGAGAAGAGAAGGUUCAAUUUUUUAGGUUUUGGAAUGACAAGGGUAUUGUUAUCCAAAAAUGUUGAAAUUGGCUACAUAGGGUAGAAAAAGUUCAACUAGCUAAUUCUAAAAUAUCCUAAAAUUUUGGGGUUAUUUUUGUAAAUUUCCUACUUUUUUUGUUGGGUGUAUGCGACGCUCAAAGUCAAAUCCACUUGGAUGAAUCUCAACCCAAAAUGUUUUGGGCCAAUGCCCAACUAUAGCCCAUGUUGUGAAGCAAAGUCUUACAAGAACAUGUCUUUACCCCUUUCCUUUUCCUUUUUCUUUCUUUCUUUUUUCAUAUCUUUUGACUAAAACAAGAGUCUCUCUCUCCGAUUCCAUAGCCCCAAGCGAAAUGAUACAACUCUUUGAAUUAUUGAAAAAGAUUAUUUUUUUUUUUAUGCUUAUGGAGUUAUUUUUCAGUUAAGUACAAUUAUUUGGGGACACCUAUUCCCAACUCUGGUGGUUAAUACCUCCAUUUUUCUUUGGAGAAGAUUCUUGAAUUGGGUUUCGAAUAGACUAUAUCAAUUAUUGACGACAGUUCAUCAUGAUAUUACUAGAAUUAUAUUGUAAUAUUCAAAAGUACAACCGUUAGGGCAUUGGAAUAUCAUGUAGAAAACAGAAACAAUUAAGCUUUAAAAGUUGACGAGGGACAAAUGCAAUCAUACAUAUUAACGAAUAGCUAUAUAUAUUACACAUCCUCAAACUCAUUUAUUCAGUACUCUAGUAAACGAGGCCUUACCAAUCAUGUUUCAUAUUCAUGAAUCAUAGUGUGUACAAUUUCUGAAUUAAGAUGCAAAUUUCGUAUUGUCUUCGAACUAAUACGACGCAUACAAGUGAUUUUUGUAUAAUUCAGCAUAUAUAAGUAUAACAAUAUUGUCAACCUAUCUUUUAUCAUGUAAAGACUCAAAUCUCAAUGAGCUGGAGAAGUUGCCAUUGAUUUUUUCAGUGAAAUGGCUCUUUUUGAACGUAAAUAUAAGUAAGAAAUAAUAAACUCAUCGUCUUAAUGUAAAAAAAUGCACAUUCUUCAACAGCUCAUUGAUAUAUGCAAACGGUUAAAAAGUGAGAUUAAUUGACAACGCAGCAUAUGAGUAAUUCAGAAAAGGCGAAAGUGGAGUUGGAGGGUGGGCAUAAAUGAAUUGGGUCCCAAGUGCCCCAAAUCAAGGGGUACAAAAACAAACGACGAAUUCCCAUUUGUUGUCGUGACCAAAAGAGUAGGAAACAAAGUUGAUUUGUCAUUGAGGGGCAUGUGAACCUGCACAUAAUAUUUUAAAAAAAAUAAUAAAGAGCAAAGCCAUGUGGAUCCAUGCUUUAACGUUAUUCCCAUGCAUCAACAUGUGAAUAUUGGCUCCAAAAUUUGUAAGCCACAAUAAUAUUAUGAGGAAGAAAAAAAAAACAAUAAUGAUACUAACCCUACCACCUUCUUCUUCUUCUUCUUCUUCUUCGUGCUCUUAUUGCAGAUUUUACAGGGCAAUGCACGAUGAUUUUCUUUUCCUUUCCAUUGUGGGGACCUAUUUGCAUGCACGCGAGCAUUGCGAUAUUGGGCUGAAAAUGCUUGUCUAAAUCGAGUGGUCAAACGAUGUUACGUUCCACCGUCCAUGCUUCUAACGUAAUCUCCAAUACUAUUUCAUGUCUCCAUCUUUCUUCAGUCAAAAAGAGGAUAUUGACUCAUAAUUCAUCAACAGUUGCUUCCACUCCAAUUUUCACUCCCCAUCUAAGAAAUUUUUAGGGUGAUUUUUAGUGUACAUUCUCUCUCUCUCUCUCUCUCUCUCUUUUUAUCAUGUGUAUUUGUUUGCGGAUAAAAUGUGGUGUGUUUUGAGUUCUUCUGUAUGUACUAUAAAAAUUAUUUUUUCUUUCAUUAGGUUCAAUCCAUUGCAGGCCUAGAUAUCACAGAACUGAUUUAAUUUUUGAUUGACUUCUGAUUAUAAAUGCAAGCAGAUUAUAAUAUAAUUAAAAAGAAAAAGAGAGGAGCUAUAAAUUAUCCCAUUCUUACUGUUAAAAUUAGAUGCUUUUGUUUUGUGCUACACAGUUGCUUUCAAAUUCCGAAAAAGCAGAAGAAAGAAAGAUUGGAUUAGGCAUCAAAUAAAAAAAAAAAAAAAAAAAAAAAAAAAAAAAAAAAAAAAAAAAAAAAAAAAAAAAAAAAAAAAAAAAAAAAAAAAAAAAAAAAAAAAAAAAAAAAAAAAAAAAAAAAAAAAAAAAAAAAAAAAAAAAAAAAAAAAAAAAAAAAAAAAA
rnacentral:lncRNA from 1 species